GCCCCUCUAUACCACUUGAACUUGUCAUUGUAAUCGUGUUAAUUAUUAUGUAAACCAACAGAAUGUAAAGUCACUGCCGAAAUUGCUGUCACCAAAUUAGAUGUAAGCAAGAAAAUUUGCAAAAGCCCAGAAAAAGUAAAAAUUUACAAGUAUUUUGCACUUCAAAAGAUCGGCAAAGGAAAUGUAGUUCAAGUUAAAAUAAAAAGUUUAAGGUAUAAAAAUAUUUCAAGGCAAUUUCAGUAAACUGGAUUUCAAGAAACUCCUAAAACAUUUUUUAGAGCCAGUUGUUAAACAUUUAUAAGCAUACCGUUGGAUACAGCGAACCUGAGGCAAUCUCUUAAUGUGGGAGCUGAGAAAACUCACACCCAGACCUUGUUUUCAAGAUGGAAAGAAGACCCAACUCAAUAGGGAGCCAGAGAACACUGGUGCCUCUUGAUCCGUCCUGUUCAAACCAUCCUCUGGGGGAGACAGCAGAUGGAGGAGGGUGGAGAGUGAAUACCUUCCUAUCCAUUCUUAUCACCCCUGAUUUCCCACAGCAAUGGAGGUAACUUUGGCUGACAACUGGAAACAGUGGAUUUUCUAGUAGGACCUUAAGUGACCCUGCUCAAGAUGAACUGUCCUAGAAUAAAAUUUGAUUGGCCAACUUCAGUCAGUGAUUACUCUUGGCAACAAGACAGGGUUCCUUGACUGACAGUCCCAUGGAGACUCUCAUAAUAAGGAGCCAGUAAUCUCCAACAAGGAAUUCAGAGUGCUCUUAAGAACAGGAGGGCGAAUGGGUGCUGGGAAGCCAAGGAAGAGCAAAAGUCCACUUCCAUCUGGGACAUGACCUUGCUACAGGGCCCCUCCUGAGUUGGGGGGUGGGCAGGGAGCAUUAACGUGGAAGUAAUUGAGAAUUAAUUUUUCUUUAAAAAUCUCCAGGCAUAAUGUCAAUAGUUCAGAAUGUAACACUAUUUGACAUUAACAGAGCUCACACUGAAAAAUCGCAGGUAUGUAAAUAAAUGUUGGAAUGAAAAUAAAUCAGAAACUGAAAGAAAAGCUGAGAUAUGCUGAUGUUUAAGGAAGAUCAUAUGUCACUGUUUUGCCAAACCUGAUGAAAAGAUAAGUAUGUUCCAACAGCAUUCAGAGUAAGUGGAAAAUUUACUGUUAAACAUAGAGCGAGGGGGGUGAGAAGAAUGGGUUUGUAGGGGACUUUGUGGUCCAUUUCCGUUGUAAAUGAGUGAAGAGAAAGUGCUUGACCUUCCCGGCUGUGGCCCCCUCGACCUACAUGGUCCUCUCGCUCUUCUUUCUACUUCUCCAAGCUCUGCUGCCUUCAGGACCCAACACACAUGUCUUUUCUCUCAGAGCCUUCCGGGACCAGCUCAAUCCAGCCCAAUCCAUGAUGAAAUACCGCUUCUUGUCCCAUGCACGUGGCACUUCCCAAACGUCCCCUUAGGUUGUCACACAGCUCCUGACAUGUGCAUCCUGACCUUCACCUAGGGUCCGGGAAUAACGAAAGCAGGAUCUGUCUGAUGAUGAGAAGUUGGCUGUUGGAGGCUUAAUGUGACCUUUACAAAACUUGGUCUUUCUGCCCUUUUCUAGUUCCUCAUUCACCUAAACCUUGAAAAUAGGAACUGUAACCAGGAUUUGUCCCUCCUCUCUCUCUCUCUCUCUCUCUCUCUUUUUACACCACACUGUUCUGGAGAGAAUUAAUGAGAGGAUACAUGUAAAAGCCAACACAAGACUUACACUCGGAUGUUUUCAUUUUGUCAGAUGCUCGUUGCCCUAUAGGUAAAGAUCUCCCAAGCACAUAGGCAGAUUCUUUUAAUGGUUACGAAUAAUGGUAGUAUUGUCUCAUGCUGCCUAUUCUUUCUCAAUGAUCUCAUCUAUUUGGGCAGUUUCAGUUGUGGUCUUUAAGAGGAUGACUCUCCAUCUGCCUCCAGCCAACUCAUCUCCCAAGCCCCAGGCCCGUAUUUCCAACCGGAUGUUCUGUAGACCUCAGACUCAACAGGUCCUGAACUGAACCCACCCUUCCAUACAAACCUAGUCCCUCUUGUUACUGAAGCCAUUGACCACAAUCAGAACUGGUCUAGAUGCCACUUAUGCCUGAAAUCCCAGAAACGUUUCAGUUCCAGCAUCUCCUUCUCACCGUCUCCCACCCAGUAUCCUGCUGGAGUCUCCCAAUGUGUUCCUAAGGUUCCAUUUUUUCUGCAGCCCCAUGUCUGACCUUCAUUAAGUCUCAACUCAAAUCUUGCAAGAACAUCCUGACUAGUCCCUCUAUCUCCACCCACCACCUCAGCCCAUGCUCUAUGCUGUCACUAGAGUUCUGUCCUUAAAGACACUGGUAAGAUUGUAUCAGACCCCAGCACCCUCUCCACACACCAAAGCUUCUAGUCUUCCUGUUCUGACAUAUGAACAGUUCGAGCUGUCCACAAUAUGUAGCCUCAUCUCCUCUACAGUCCCCGAACCUCAAGCCUACUCCCUCCGCAUUUCACGUUCCCAGAAUAUGCCCUCCACUGUCACACAAUUAACCUUGUUAAGCUGUUUCCUUGUCUCAAAUACUCUUGCCACCUGGCCCAGGAUCCUCUUAAUCUGGCAUCUUCCAAGACACUUCACCAAUUUUAACAGUUAACAUUAAUUGUUCCUUCAAGUAAUAACUACCAUUAUAGAGAACUGAGUAUGUGCCAGGGAUUUACAUACAUUAUCACGGUUAAUCCUCACCACCCUCCAGCAAGUUAGGUAUUACAGGCCCAUGAUCCCUUAUCCAAAGCCUUGAGGCCAGGUGUGCUUCCAAAUUGAGAAUGUCUUGUUUUUUGGAAAGGUAAUAUAGUGGGAUGUGUCUCAGUUUCCCCAUCUGUAAAAUGGAGAGGAUAAGUACUAGCAGAGUACCUCCCUCAUGGGAUUGUUGUGAAACAGGCAAUGUGUUCCUUCAGAGAAGGGCUUAGGGAAGUGCCCUUAUGAAAUGCACUGUGAGGUCUAUUUACUUGACUGUUAUAAACAAUACAUAAUAGCUUGUGAAAAGACCUUACUAGGAAAAUAAGUGGCUCAACAAAUUUGUAUCAGGAAAGUAAUUUGGAUGAUGAUAAGAGCCCUCAUUUUGCUGGAUGUUGUGCUUUCUUUUUCUUUCUUUACUUUCACUUCCUUCUGCUACUUACCACACCCUUUAUUCAGCAUUUCCUAUCAAAAUCACAGGCCUCCUGCUACUGCAAUGAAAAGUCUUUCUUCAUUUUUCCAGCCUAUUUUACAAUUAAUUCAUAAGUUUCUCCAGAAAAAGAAAUAUAUAUAUAUAUAUAUGCUAGAUAAUUAUUCCCUUCUUCUCUGACAAGAAUAAUUUAUGACAAUUAAUGCUAGUUUUUAGAAAUUCAGUGUAAACAUCACCAACAAAUUCAUUUGCUUUACUCUUUUAUGGGCCCAGAUGCAGAAGAGUCCAAGAAUGUAGGGCCUGGAAGGGACCCUAAAGACCAGCCAGUAUGCAUGACCCGACUCUAUCCAACUAUCUUUUAUACUUGAAGAAACUAGGAGAAGGGAGUCCCUGCUCAAGUUCACACAGCUAGUUAAUGACACAACACUAGCUAAAUCCCAACUGUCCCCAUUCCCACCUCCCCCACCAUCCCCAAGCAACCACUG